CUCACUCUCAAAAAUAAAAUAAACACUAAAAAAAAUUUUUUUUUAGAAGGCAAAUAUUUUUGAAUGGUUGUCUGAGUUUUUCUCUACUUCUACCGAUCUGAAAGCAGAUGGAGGAGAGCACAAGCUUGGGAUAGAAUUUGGAUUGAAGAAGUCUCGUGGAGUAAAACGCUUCCUGGCAAUAAAGGUGAUCUAAGUGGCUCGGGGAAAUGUGUGCCUAACUGGCGAAUUGGUUAGCAAUAUGGAGCUUGGACAACAGAAAUACCCCUCUGUAGUGAACAGCCAGUGAAAGGAACUGAAGCCAAGGCAAGUGCCUGCAUGAAGUAGUCAGAGAACCUGAAAUGUGAUGUUGCAGAGAGAAAGGAGGACGGCAUGGAAGUCUCUUGAAAAGGCUGAGAGACGACCUCUGUCGAACCAGGAUGGAAAAGCAAUAGAGCAGAACAAAGUCGAGAGAGGGAAAGAGAGACUUCAUUUUAGAAGAUAACCCAAACUACCAUCCCUCAUUGUAAACCUGUCACCACACUUUGCUGUAGUUUUAAAAGAUAAUUUGCUGUUUCUGCAGGUAAUUCUAUGUUUAGAUUCCAUGUGUUAAAACAUGGUCUCUGGGGCAAAUCCGACCAUCUUCUUCAAACAGAUCGUCAUGGGGUAAAGGUUUGUGUCCAAACUUCUUAUCACAGCAUUUUGAGCCCUUUCAUGUCUCUUUCCUUACUCAUUUCUUACUUUGUCUCCCCUUCAGACCUCACACUUGAGCCACAAAACUACAUCUGAGACUAAGCUGCUGAUACAGGUUUAUGUCCUUUGGACUUUUAUUUUUUUUGGUACUCUACCCUCCACCCAAAUCACCAUCCCUUCCCCAACCCCUUAGGGAUCUGCUGUGUUGAAAACUCAACUAAAUCAUUAGGUCAUCUAUAAAGCUUUUCUAUACCUCUAUCUGAGGGAGAACUGACUACCCAUUCUUUUGUGCCCCGGUGCACCCCACAGAUGCCUAGACCAUAGUAAUGAUUACACUUUAUGGCAUGUGCUUAAUGGUGUGUUCAUCUCAACUGGACUGUGAACUCCUCCAGGUUAGGAACCCUCUUUGCUUUAUUAUUAUAGAAACAGUUCUUAGCAUUGUGCUUGCAUAGAGAAAUUGCUUAAUGUUUGAAGAAUAAAAAAUGAAUGAAUGAAUGGGUCAACCAAUCACUGGAUAAAUAUAUACUUGAAGACACUGCCCUUAAUGAUACUACUGUGGCAUUAUAAUUGCUUUAAAGUAUCUAUAAAGAAUGUAAAAACGGGCACUAUAUAAACUCUCAUUAUCCUUUUCUUGCUUGAAUAAAAGGGACACUUCAGAAGAGCUCUUAAAAAUAAAUUCAUCAAAAUAGAAAAAUCAAGUUCCAAUAUAGGAAUUAUAACUUUCAUGAUAGAGAUACACUCAAACGGAUUAGCGGUCCAGAAAUAUAUCUCUAGGAAAUCAAGUAAAUGAGGUACAGGUGUGGGUCAUAGUUUAAUACCACCUUGCAGAGCUUAAGAAAGUAAAAAGAAAGAAAAGAAAAAAAACUGGAACAAAAUUUGGAAUUUAAGGACACAAGUAAGGAAUAACACAAGAAAAAUAAAUAGACCAAAGCAUUAUAGAAAUAUAUUAUGAAAAUUAAGAGAGAAUCAAGUAAUUAAGUACUUUACCUCAAAAGGCAUAGUCUAUAACUUACAGCACAAAACUGGGAAGUAUCCAUAAAUAUCUUUUAACAAGAACUUCUAGUCUUUUCUCAUUCUCAGUGGAUGGUUCACCUGGACCAACCUUUACACUUACACUCUUAUCAUUAUUCUCUUAGCCAGAGUAAAUCACAACUGGAUGCUAAGGCAGGACUUCUGAUUCUGCCCCAAAUCAUGCUGAUGGUUCAGACUCAUAGGACUGAAAAUGAGGUGACAAAUGUCAGCCUAGAAAAAGAAUCUGUUUCUGGUCUCAGAGGCACAGAGUCAAAAUACUUUCAUGAGGACAAUACUUUCCUUCUGGGCCAGAGACACUAUGAACACUCAUGUUUUUUAGGUGUAGACAGAGCCUCCAAAACUGUGUUCUACGAUAUUUGCAGGGGGGGUAUGAAGUUCUAUUUCCUCCCCUCCCCCAUUUGUUUUCAAGAGAAAUUCCUGACUGGUUUGUCUUUAACACCGUGCUUUGUUUCAGCUAUUUAUAUACUGCCUUGUUCCAGAAUGAACAGGAGAGCCGAAAACGAAAAGGGUAUGAAAAAAAGGAAAAAAAAAAAAAAAAAAAAGACCCAAAAUGUAACCAGGAAGUAGUGAGAAGUACAUAGGAUAAUAACCUACAGGAUUGUUAUGGGCGUGGCUGUGAUCCACACAAAUUAAAACCGAGGGAAACACCCUUCAUCACUGAGCUCAGUAGAUACAAUACAUUAAUGAUCCCACAAGCAUUUCCAAAGAAUACAGUCAGUUCUUGGAGAGAAAAUCUCCACAAGGUAGCUCCAAAUAUUGCCAAGUAACAUGAAAGAAAAGACAUUCUGGAGUUGCUUUUCUAAAUUAUCAAGAUGUAAGGUUCAACUUUUUUUUUUCUUAACAAGGUAGGUAAAAUGGGACUUUGGUUAGCAACAUGUCUAUAGUGGUAAAGCGUUUUAUGGGAUUUGAAAUAUAUUGUGGAAAGAAAUAUAAUCAGGAAUUUUAUUUUAUAUCCAGAAAUAAACUCGUUAAGUAAUUGCAAAAUUUAAGCAUUCAAAAUAGAAAAAAAAAUAGUUGUUUGCAAUGGGAGGAGAAAUAUAUGUUGGUAGGAAUGAUCACUAGACUUUGACAAUUUAAAGCAUCUGAAGCAUUAAAGUUCUGAUGUUCCAUGAUAGCACAAAAGAAUAGAGAGAAGGUGAGUUUUGUCUGUUUCCAAGUUAUUAAAUUUCCAAAUUAUUAAUAAUUAAUGUCCCCUGAGGAUGACUUCUGAUAGGAGCGUGCAUGAUAGCACGUUCAUAAAAGUGUUGCAUACAUUUUCAACCAGCUGAUAAUGUCCAUCAUCAUUAUGCAUCUAUUAAAUGUCACAUAUUGUACUACAAUCAGGAUGACAUUGGCCUGUAGCCACACAAAGCCAACUUUACGCACUGACAUUCUUGUUCUUUGGUGGUUGGGGGUAUGGCCACAUAGAACAGGGUCAAUGGUGAAUAUCAUACGGCUGCCAUUAUGUUAAGUAAUUCUCCUUUAGGAAGCCUGCUUCUCCCCUGCAUGACUAGCUGAUAAGGAUCCAAAGUCACCACACCUGCAAGCAAAAGAUACAUAGCAAAGGGAGCCUCAGGACAGUCUGAGGUGCAAAUGAGCGUAAUCUUGCAAGGUAGGUCAAGGCUGCAGCUCUGGUCCAGGCAAGUCCCUUCAUCUCUUCACUCCUAUACUCAGCAAAGCCAUGGUUGUGCCUGACCUCAUCACACUCAAGAUCUGAGAUGCCUAAUCUCUUUUGUGUUUGACACUCAUGGUACAUAUUUAGUAAGUGUUGAUGACUGAAUGGGAACCAAUUAAGAUUUAUUUUGUUACUCUGAAGGCCAAGGAAGAUAAAGAGAGGGACACAGAUUUCAGAUGUUGUACAAGAGGCACAAAUUCUUUCCAUCCUUUUGAGAAAAGCUACAAUGAGCUAAACACAGGCCAUUCACUUGAUUCAAUUUUCAUGGACAUACUCAGCUCCAGGCACCACUCUAGGUGAUGGGAUUCCCUGAAGAAUGUCACAGUGCCUACUGCCUAAUACACCCUUAAUGACGGAAUGAAUGACCUCUGACUUGCACAUAAUAAUGCUUCAGGGUAAACAAAGUUGUUGGCUUGAAUCUCACUCGCAGAGCUCACAGCUGUGCCAUAAAGAGAGCCAUAGAACCCUGUUCCCCUCCAGUUUACAGUUUGGUGUAAAGGUUGCCCCAAACUUACAAUUCAAUAAUACAAUGAAUACAACAAUACAAUUUGUACACUAAUACAAAUAAUAAGAACAAUAUGAUGUGUUCUGCUGUAAACGUGAAAGAGAAGGCAAAGUGGAUGGGGGAUGUGAAGAUGUUAUCCAUGUAGAUGGCCGGGGGGAAAAUUACAGUCAGAGCUCUUUCCCAGGAAAGAAUUCAGAAACUAAAUCUAAUACAAAGGCAAGAUGACUCUGUGUUGGUUUGUACCUUACUGUCCUUUCCUGUGCGGAAACGUUAACAUUUUCAGAUAUAAUGGGUCUUUUUUCUAGGUCAUGAAGCACAAACAAUGUGCCGGAGGCCUGAACAAAGUUGACUCAUCAGCAGGGCUUUGCACUUAAAGAUCUGAGUUUUCCUGGCUAUUUAAAUGAGAGUUGGGCAUUAAUACACACAGAAAUGACUGACAUGUUUGGUUGUGGGGAUUAGCUUCAUUGUAUGGAAAUGCCACGUUGGCAUCCCUACGUUAACAUUCUGGAUCUCUUAAAGUGUGAAUGGGGGCUUCUAUCCACCCCUCACUCAAAAGAUAAUUUCUCUUAAAAUACUCUGUUUAAAGUGUUCUUGGGAUUUUUUUUUUUUAAGGACUUGGGUAGGAAGAAAGGGAUCACAAUUAGGAAUCAAAGUAUUUUUUUCUUGACAAGGGAACUGAAAGAAAUUUUGUAGAGUUUAUCACUAAAAAGUGAAAAAGCAAAAUGCUGAAUAUAAAACAGUAAAGAGUGAUUUAAGUUAAAUUUUACUGUAGAAUGUUAUUUAACUUUAUUGGCUAGGUCUACUAGACAUUUAGUGUAAGGAUCUAAUUUGCCACAGUUUUGGUCGUAUUCCUUGCAAAUAGCAGGGUUCUCAGAUAGAAGAGGCAUGUAAUAAAUGAGUUUAUUUAAAGGUUGUUAAUUAAGCAUCAUUUUGUGUACUCAAGAAUGGAAAGGAGAAAAUGUUCUGUGAUACAGAAUUAUGUAGAUUUUGAAGUUGUCAUAUAUUUUCUUCUUUGCCUAUUUUUGAAAUCAAUGAACACAAAUAAAGAUUAAUUAAUACAA